UCCGGCGUAGCUCAGUCGGUAGAGCAAACGGCUGUUAACCGUUGGGUCAGAGGUUCGAGUCCUCUCGCCGGAGCCA
rnacentral:tRNA from 1 species